rnacentral:rRNA from 1 species
CCUACGGGUGGCAGCAGUGAGGAAUAUUGGUCAAUGGGCGGAAGCCUGAACCAGCCAAGUAGCGUGCAGGAUGACGGCCCUACGGGUUGUAAACUGCUUUUAUACGGGAAUAAAGCGCCUUACGGGUAGGGCUUUGCAUUUAACGUAUGAAUAAGGACCGGCUAAUUCCGUGUCAGAGGCCGCGGUAAUACGGAAGGUCCGGGCGUGAUCCGGAUUUAUUGGGUUUAAGGGGAGCGUAGGCCGCAUGUCAAGCGUGCUGUGAAAUUUCCGGGCUCAACCCCGACCCGCCGUUGAAACUGGCAGUCUCGAGUUGGAGAGAAGUAGGCGGAAUGCGCGGUGUAGCGGUGAAAUGCAUAGAUAUCGCGCAGAACUCCGAUUGCGAAGGCAGCAUGCCGGCUCCACACUGACGCUGAGGCACGAAAGCGUGGGUAUCGAACAGGAUUAGAUACCCCAGUAGUC